GUUUUUUGUUAGGUUAAAAAAUACAACCUGCCCUAUGACGAUUUAAAUGGCCGCUUAUGUGCUAAGGUAGCAUAAUAAUUUGUUCUUUAAUUGGGAACUAGUAUGAAUGGUUAGACGAAAAAUAACUGUCUCUAAAUUUAUUUUAGAAUUUUACAUUUAAAAUUAAAAGGUUUAAAUAAAAUAGAGGGACAAAAAGACCCUAUAGAGUUUUAUAACUAAUUUUAUUAAUAUUCAUUAUUAUGAAUAAUUUAGUUAUUUAAUUGGGGUGAUUAAAAAUUAAAACUUUUUUAAAUUAAUUUGAUUUUAACUUUAUUAAAUGAAUUAUAUUUUUUAAUUAUUAGAAUAAAUUACCUUAGGGAUAACAGCGUUAUAUUUUUAAAAAGUUCAAAUUUAUAAAAAUUAUUACGACCUCGAUGUUGGAUUAAAAUUUCCUAUAUUGGUGAAGAUAUUAUUAUAGGUAGUCUGUUCGACUAUUAAAUAUUUACA
rnacentral:rRNA from 1 species